rnacentral:misc_RNA from 1 species
ACAAGUUUGCAAAAACUUUUGAUUGUGUGUGAACUGUUAUACUGUAGAACCGUGUGAUGCGUUGGUUGCGCAUGAGGUGUUGGCCUUUGGGUCAUGCACCGCACUGAUGCACACCGGAAUCCAACUUGAACCAAACUUUGAAACUGAUUGACUGAAGUAAUAAGAGUAAACCUAGA